rnacentral:rRNA from 1 species
GAAAGGCCCUGCUUGCAGGGUACUCGAGUGGCGAACGGGUGAGUAACACGUGGGUGAUCUGCCCUGCACUUCGGGAUAAGCCUGGGAAACUGGGUCUAAUACCGGAUAGGAGCCAUUUUUAGUGUGAUGGUUGGAAAGUUUUUUCGGUGUAGGAUGUGCUCGCGGCCUAUCAGCUUGUUGGUGGGGUAAUGGCCUACCAAGGCGGCGACGGGUAGCCGGCCUGAGAGGGUGGACGGCCACAUUGGGACUGAGAUACGGCCCAGACUCCUACGGGAGGCAGCAGUGGGGAAUAUUGCACAAUGGGCGCAAGCCUGAUGCAGCGACGCCGCGUGGGGGAUGACGGCCUUCGGGUUGUAAACUCCUUUCGCUAGGGACGAAGCUUUUUGUGACGGUACCUAGAUAAGAAGCACCGGCUAACUACGUGCCAGCAGCCGCGGUAAUACGUAGGGUGCGAGCGUUGUCCGGAAUUACUGGGCGUAAAGGGCUCGUAGGUGGUUUGUCGCGUCGUCUGUGAAAUUCCGGGGCUUAACUCCGGGCGUGCAGGCGAUACGGGCAUAACUUGAGUACUGUAGGGGUAACUGGAAUUCCUGGUGUAGCGGUGAAAUGCGCAGAUAUCAGGAGGAACACCGAUGGCGAAGGCAGGUUACUGGGCAGUUACUGACGCUGAGGAGCGAAAG